CCUCCUCGAUCUGCUGCGGGCAGAUGAAAUGGAUGUGGCUGUCGAAGCCGCCGGCGGUGAGGAUCUUGCCCUCGCCCGCAAUCACCUCCGUGCCGGGACCGAUGAUGAUGUCGACGCCGCUCUGCACAUCGGGAUUGCCGGCCUUGCCGAUCUUGAAGAUGCGCCCGUCUUUCAGGCCGACGUCCGCUUUCACGAUGCCCCAGUGAUCGAGGAUCACCGCAUUGGUGAUGACGGUGUCCACCGCGCCGUCGGCAUUGGCCACCUGGCUCUGGCCCAUGCCGUCGCGG
rnacentral:sRNA from 1 species